AACCAUGAAGAGUUUGGUCCAUGACUCCUUUAUACCGUAUUCACCCAAAAUUGAUAUGUGAAAAUUUGUCGUCUCUUCAUGAUAUGAGAUCAAUGCAAUGGACCCAUUUAACACCGCCAAGUUUAUCCACAAGGUGUGAAGAUUGAAACAAUCAUCUAAGUAUGAGGGUAUGUAUGUUAUGAAGAAUUCCUCAUUGCUCAAGUAAAAUGAUACCACACAUGGUCCCUCCAGGGUAUCAUCAACUUCUUCAGCCAACCAAUGACACACACCAUCCAUGUAGACUUGAGUGCCGUCAAUACGUGCCAAUGAACAAGGCAUGCUAGAAACAUCAAGUAUCCUCCACGAGUUAGUUCUUAAGCUAUAUAUCACCCAAAUUGGGUCUAAAGACAUACAUCCAUAGCCAGCGUGUUCACCCGUAAUAGUUACGUGACAGAUGACCUUAUAGUCAUUUCUAAGAUUGUCGUAGCCAAAUCCAUGAAGAUAAUACGUAUCAUGUAUGCUAACAAAAUCCACAACAUCUUCAAUAGACGACUCAACUAACUCAUCCUGACUGGGAACGAGCUUGAUUGCAUGUGCCGAUGGGUUCCACAAUAGAGUUUUGCCAUAAUAAUAAUCUUGAUAGAGACAAAAUGUGCCAUUAAUACUACCAAAGCCAAAAAUACGAAAUUUGAAACGGUCUGCAUAUGCAUUUGAGAAAUCUAAUUGAACUUUGUUCUCAAACCUUUCACCAGAAAUAGAAUAGAAAACGUCUUUACCAAGUUCGAAAUCCCUUAGGAGCAGAGAUCCCCCAUCGUAAUAAGGACAUUGGUGAGAAUUAGAUAAAAGAUUCUUGUAGAACAUGUUCAUGAAGUGAGGGUUUUCAGAUAAGAGAGACCAUGCUUUGCGAAUGCAUUCAAACCGUUUAAUGGAUUUAAAAGGCAAUUUGGAUAAAAUAGAGAAGGCAAUUUCAUCAGGUAUAUAGGUGGUGCUCACCUUUCUUUUUUUAGCAGCGACUGACUCCAUCGGCGGUUGCAAAUUGGAAUGCAGUGAGAUCCUGAAAGCACAAAGUGAUUGGGAUUACUAGAAAGCAGAAACCCUAAACAAAUUUGGAGCGAGUCUGUGGAUGAAUAUAGAAACCCUAGCGCUUUUUUAUAUAUUGAGAAAGGAGCCCUAUAUAUCCUUCAUUUCCCACUUAUUUUACUUUCGUUUAACCCUUCUUUUUUUCGUUACAAUUUGUUUCACCUAUUUUUUUUUAAACCAAUGGUACACAAGAGUUAUUUGAUAGUACAUGUGUACCAUACCAAUGUUAUAUAACAUUUGUCAACAUUGGUCAAUGAAGGUGUGCCACGUAGCAUUUCACAUACAUAUAUUUUCUCUUUCCUCUUUAGUUCUUCCUCACGUUGGCUACGUGACACAUCUUUACUCACCAAUGUUAAAUAACAUUGGUAUCCCAAUGAUAUGCAAGUGCUAUCUUAGACACUUCAGUCGAUGUUAAUUUUGUCUUGAUAAAAGAUGAUGUCAAACUAGUCUUUACAAUUUUAAAUUGGGAACAAAUUAAUCUCUAUAUUAAAAACUUCGAUAGCUACCUAUUCUAUACUCCGUCCCAAAUCGUACGACAUUUUGGAUAUUUCACACGUAUUAAAAAUGUAAUUACUUAUGUGUGGGAAAGGGAUAUUAUUAGUUGUUUUACAAAAUUGUCCUUAAUAAAUGAUAUGGGAAAGAUAAAUAAAAAAAUUGAAAGAAGAGAGUACUAAAUAGUUAAAGAUAUAAUGGGAAAAGUAACACUAAUAUUUUAUUAGUAUCGUAAAGCGACAUAUAAUUUCAGACAAAAAAGUUUCCAAAGCUACGUAUAAUUUGGGACGGGGCGAGUAAAAAAAAACAUUUGUUACAUAUAAUAAUCAUUUUUUCCUUUUAAACCACCAAAAAAAAAAAAAUUCAUUUUUGGCUUUUCACAUUUUCUAAAUGAUACUUAAAUUCAUUCGUCAUUAACACCAAUUAUUAAUCAAGAUUCAUUGAAGUAAAGAAAAUUUUCAAAGGAUAACCUUCACUUUAUUCAAAUAAGCACACUCUUUUUUUCAAACCACAGCUCCAACAACAUUUAGAUCAUCAAAGAGACCAAGAAAUGGAACAAGAGAACAAAGAAUACCAAUAACACUAUCACUAAAAUUUCACGCGGUUUUUUUCAAUCAACGAGGUGAAGAGAGAUUAGUUUACCUGAAAUAAAUUCAAUCAAAAGCUUCACAAAGGAGAGGCAAAGGUUUGUAAUUCAAGAAGUUUUCUCAAAUAAGGCUUGGAACAUGAAGGAAAUGGAUGUUUUUUCUUCAAAACAAAAAGCACCAACACACCUAUACAGGUAAUAUUGAGAGAAAGAGAGAGAGCGCUUCUGUGCUGAAAGUGAAAAUGGGAAAGGAAGGAAUAGCUUAAAUAGACCACAUGGUAAAGUCCUAGCCCUUGGAUUAAACAUAAGUCAUGUGGGAUGAAUCUAAACCAUUCAAUAUAACUUAAUCACCAAGNAAGGCUAAAACAAGAGGACAGAAAAUGAAACCUGCACAAAACCACCAAAAGCCAUGCGCGCACAAAGCUGGCAGCACAACAACCAAGUGGUCACAACAACUACAAAAAACCCACAAAGCUGGAAGUACAGAAGCCAAGCAGUCACAGUAACAGCAAAAAAAUCGCAGCCCUGUUUAAAUUAAAAAUGAAGUCCGUAAACAUAAGAAACAAAUAAUAUAAAACGAGUUUAGGCGAAUACCUUCAAAACGAGUCUUCAUUCACACCAAAACGAGCCUUCAACAAACAGUGUUGUUUUGGAAAUGGGAAAACCGAUUGAAAUUUGAAAUAGUGUUGUUUUCAACAUUCAACAAAUCUCUAUCAAUCUCUAUUUUAGUAAUUUCAACAUUCAAAUUAAUGAAAGAGAGUUUAUUUACUUACCAAACAGUGUUGUUUUGGAAAGGGGAAAACUGAUUGAAACCUUGAGAGUUGAGAAUCAGUGAUGAUUUGGUGAAGAAGGAAGAAGAAGAAGGAAAGCCUGAUGAUGUGAAUCAGUUGAUGAUUGAUCAGUGAUGGUGGUUGUGAAUCGGUGAUGGAAUGGAAGAAAAUCGGUGAUGAGAGUGAGGAAACGUGUUUCAACUUUUGUGAGCGAAUGAAAUAUUUUUUUUUUUAUUGGAGGAUAUAUAUUAUACUGGGUAUAAUUUUUUUUUUGAAGCCCAUCCUUGAGGGAGGCCCAGCUCGUUUGAGCUGUUUGCACGCCUCAGGGAUGCCCAUGACUAUUAUACCAUUCACCUACAUCAAUACCCAAUGCUCACCAAAAUACUCAAUACUUACAUAAAUCAAAAUCUAUAUAUACUCCAUUGCUCAUCUAUCUAUCUAUCUAUCUAUCUAUCUAUCUAUAUAGGGGGACUUCUACGGUACACCUCAUAAAUUGAGUUGUACUGGUACUCCUACUUCAAAAAUUUAUAAUUUAACAAUUAUUUUAUGAAAUAAAGAGUUAUUCAUCAAUAUUUAUAUUUUAGAAAACAUCAUUUUAUAAGAAAAAACAUCAUUUCAUUGUUUAUAAGAAUUAUAUUUAAUUUUUAAAAUUUUCUCAUAAAAAAUAAUCAAUAUUCUUUGUCAUAUGUAACAAAAAUUCAAAAAAAAAGUAAAUUUUGUUUCGUCGACGCUUUUGGUAAAUACGAUUUAAUUAUUGUAAUUGUCAAUGAUAGAAAACAGAUUUUUUUCUUAAAAAAAACAACUCGUUUAAUUAUUAAUUUAAUAAUUUGAUGUACCGGUACCCUCAAAUUGUUGGAUAUAUCAUAAAAUUUGCCAUCUAUAUAUCUUUGAAUUUGAAACUUGCUUCAUUCUAAUGCUUGGAUUGUGCCUAUGUGACAUAUUAAAAAAGCUCAAACUCUCUCUUUUCUAUUGCAUUGAAAUGUUGGUGUUAUCCCUCUCUUAAAACCUUGCCAGCAGUCACAUUUCAACCGUAAAUUAUUUUUAAUAAAAAAUCAAUGCAUUAAAUAUACAAAGGAAGCUCCAUCUUUUAGGAACGUUUUAUUUUUAAGAUGUAUAAAAUAGGUAGAGAAGUUCACUUGAUAUUCCUAAUCCAUACCUUUCAUUUGUACAUAACCUUUUAAUUAGUGCAUCUUUUCAAUUCCAUAUUUAUUUAACCAAUUUAAAACCAAAUAUUGUUCCAUUAUAUAUUGACCUUUCCUAUGUGUUUAUGUGCUACUAGCUAGGUGUUUAUUUUGCAGUUUUUUAAACAAAAAUGUUACGUCCUUUAGAAGUUGAAAUUCAAAGCACGAAAGUGGAACAAAUGACAAGUAACAUAAAUGAAUGGCACAUGCCCUUUCUACUGAAAAAUUAAUAGAAAGUAUAAUAAUAGAAUUAGGUGAAAUUUUUCUUCUUCAUAGAAGGAAUAAAAAAUGGUAUUCCAAAAAAUAAGUUAAACUAAGGCUUCUAAACAAGGUAAGCUGAUUGCAAUUUGCAGAAAAAAGAUAACUGAGUUGAAGUGAAUCCAAUUGAUGUUGUUAAUGAUAAGUAAAAGCCAUGUAUUAGAAGUGUCAAACCCUAUCUAUGUCGGCGUAAUAAAUAUCAACCUGACUGGGAUUCAAAUCUUGGUUCGCCACAUUGUGGUAGUCUAGCCCCUUAUAUGGUAGAGGAGUCCGACCAAACAAAAAUAAAAGACAAGCAAAUUAAGGCAACAAGUUCUUCGUUGCUAAUUACAUUCCACCAACUUCAGUGUAACAAGAUUAUAGACACUUAUGCUUAUUAUAAGAAGGUUUUAGACAUAACCAAAAACUCGUUAGAAGGAAUAGUCAGGUGAAGUAGAUUAUUCAAGCUACAUUAAUGGCCAUCCAGUUCAAGACGUCAUAAUAACGAUGAUAUUUCACACAACAAAAAUCAGAAUUGAACUCAAAAUAACCUAGUGGUCUUUGGCUAAUUUACUGAAACUGAUAAGAUUCUUAGUAAAAUAGCAGAUAUGAAGAAAAUUAAUUAAUUGAUUUGAACUAAGCCACCAAGCUUGAACAAGCCAAGUUUAUUAUUUAGGUUUGGGAUACAAAAGAAAAAAUAAAGCAUUAAACUAAACAUGGUUUCAUGAAUAUAGAAAGCAGAAAGCAUAGUUACUAAAGAUCAUUACUUUCAAUGAUAUGGAAAUCAAAAAGUUCGCAAAUAGAAAGAGACUAAACAUUCAAAAUAAAAACCCGAACAAAGAAAGAAAAAAAAUACUCCAACUGCCUCCACCUAACACAACCUCAGCAAACCAUGCUAGGCCGCAAGGAAGCCACACACAACAAGCCUGAACGCUGCACAGAAAAACGGUGGGAUCGACCCAGGAAACUUCCAGACCAGAAAAACAGGCAACAGCAGACCAGAAAACAGCACCAGAUGAGCCAAAACAGAACCACAGAAUCAUCAGCGACGAUACAAGGACAAUGGCCUGCUACCGAUUCAAGCGAUCUCUGGAAUUCAAAUUGACAAGACACUUUGUAUAUAAGGUAAUAUCCCAAUCACCACAAUCAUUUUACUCCUGGUAAAAAUAACUAAUUACUUAUUCCUCCAAUUGGAAGAAUGUUUCCUUGUACAUUACUAUCCGAUCAAUAGAAUUCACUUCUUUGUAAGCAAGCUCCACAAUCAUUUGAGUACUUAAAUCAAGACAAACUAGUUCUUUAUCUUGUCUGAUGACGAAUAUUUCUCCUUUCGUUCCCACUCCAAUAGGACGCUCAAUGCAAGACAACGGUCCAACCAUGAAGAGUUUGGUCCAUGACUCCUUUAUACCGUAUUCACCCAAAAUUGAUAUGUGAAAAUUUGUCGUCUCUUCAUGAUAUGAGAUCAAUGCAAUGGACCCAUUUAACACCGCCAAGUUUAUCCACAAGGUGUGAAGAUUGAAACAAUCAUCUAAGUAUGAGGGUAUGUAUGUUAUGAAGAAUUCCUCAUUGCUCAAGUAAAAUGAUACCACACAUGGUCCCUCCAGGGUAUCAUCAACUUCUUCAGCCAACCAAUGACACACACCAUCCAUGUAGACUUGAGUGCCGUCAAUACGUGCCAAUGAACAAGGCAUGCUAGAAACAUCAAGUAUCCUCCACGAGUUAGUUCUUAAGCUAUAUAUCACCCAAAUUGGGUCUAAAGACAUACAUCCAUAGCCAGCGUGUUCACCCGUAAUAGUUACGUGACAGAUGACCUUAUAGUCAUUUCUAAGAUUGUCGUAGCCAAAUCCAUGAAGAUAAUACGUAUCAUGUAUGCUAACAAAAUCCACAACAUCUUCAAUAGACGACUCAACUAACUCAUCCUGACUGGGAACGAGCUUGAUUGCAUGUGCCGAUGGGUUCCACAAUAGAGUUUUGCCAUAAUAAUAAUCUUGAUAGAGACAAAAUGUGCCAUUAAUACUACCAAAGCCAAAAAUACGAAAUUUGAAACGGUCUGCAUAUGCAUUUGAGAAAUCUAAUUGAACUUUGUUCUCAAACCUUUCACCAGAAAUAGAAUAGAAAACGUCUUUACCAAGUUCGAAAUCCCUUAGGAGCAGAGAUCCCCCAUCGUAAUAAGGACAUUGGUGAGAAUUAGAUAAAAGAUUCUUGUAGAACAUGUUCAUGAAGUGAGGGUUUUCAGAUAAGAGAGACCAUGCUUUGCGAAUGCAUUCAAACCGUUUAAUGGAUUUAAAAGGCAAUUUGGAUAAAAUAGAGAAGGCAAUUUCAUCAGGUAUAUAGGUGGUGCUCACCUUUCUUUUUUUAGCAGCGACUGACUCCAUCGGCGGUUGCAAAUUGGAAUGCAGUGAGAUCCUGAAAGCACAAAGUGAUUGGGAUUACUAGAAAGCAGAAACCCUAAACAAAUUUGGAGCGAGUCUGUGGAUGAAUAUAGAAACCCUAGCGCUUUUUUAUAUAUUGAGAAAGGAGCCCUAUAUAUCCUUCAUUUCCCACUUAUUUUACUUUCGUUUAACCCUUCUUUUUUUCGUUACAAUUUGUUUCACCUAUUUUUUUUUAAACCAAUGGUACACAAGAGUUAUUUGAUAGUACAUGUGUACCAUACCAAUGUUAUAUAACAUUUGUCAACAUUGGUCAAUGAAGGUGUGCCACGUAGCAUUUCACAUACAUAUAUUUUCUCUUUCCUCUUUAGUUCUUCCUCACGUUGGCUACGUGACACAUCUUUACUCACCAAUGUUAAAUAACAUUGGUAUCCCAAUGAUAUGCAAGUGCUAUCUUAGACACUUCAGUCGAUGUUAAUUUUGUCUUGAUAAAAGAUGAUGUCAAACUAGUCUUUACAAUUUUAAAUUGGGAACAAAUUAAUCUCUAUAUUAAAAACUUCGAUAGCUACCUAUUCUAUACUCCGUCCCAAAUCGUACGACAUUUUGGAUAUUUCACACGUAUUAAAAAUGUAAUUACUUAUGUGUGGGAAAGGGAUAUUAUUAGUUGUUUUACAAAAUUGUCCUUAAUAAAUGAUAUGGGAAAGAUAAAUAAAAAAAUUGAAAGAAGAGAGUACUAAAUAGUUAAAGAUAUAAUGGGAAAAGUAACACUAAUAUUUUAUUAGUAUCGUAAAGCGACAUAUAAUUUCAGACAAAAAAGUUUCCAAAGCUACGUAUAAUUUGGGACGGGGCGAGUAAAAAAAAACAUUUGUUACAUAUAAUAAUCAUUUUUUCCUUUUAAACCACCAAAAAAAAAAAAAUUCAUUUUUGGCUUUUCACAUUUUCUAAAUGAUACUUAAAUUCAUUCGUCAUUAACACCAAUUAUUAAUCAAGAUUCAUUGAAGUAAAGAAAAUUUUCAAAGGAUAACCUUCACUUUAUUCAAAUAAGCACACUCUUUUUUUCAAACCACAGCUCCAACAACAUUUAGAUCAUCAAAGAGACCAAGAAAUGGAACAAGAGAACAAAGAAUACCAAUAACACUAUCACUAAAAUUUCACGCGGUUUUUUUCAAUCAACGAGGUGAAGAGAGAUUAGUUUACCUGAAAUAAAUUCAAUCAAAAGCUUCACAAAGGAGAGGCAAAGGUUUGUAAUUCAAGAAGUUUUCUCAAAUAAGGCUUGGAACAUGAAGGAAAUGGAUGUUUUUUCUUCAAAACAAAAAGCACCAACACACCUAUACAGGUAAUAUUGAGAGAAAGAGAGAGAGCGCUUCUGUGCUGAAAGUGAAAAUGGGAAAGGAAGGAAUAGCUUAAAUAGACCACAUGGUAAAGUCCUAGCCCUUGGAUUAAACAUAAGUCAUGUGGGAUGAAUCUAAACCAUUCAAUAUAACUUAAUCACCAAGCUUCAAGCACAUGGGUUGUCCCCCUACACUAUUCAUGCACAUGUUUUAUCUACUCUAACUUUCCCUGCAAGUUUUUUAAUUUAACGCGUCUAUUCUCGCUCGCAGAUGAAUUUUAAGCUAUCGCUAACGAAUGAACAAUCAAAUUCGUUCUUGAAUUUGCACGAAUCGGACAAAAAUAUCCUCCAAUUUAUCGAAAUGGCUAUUUUGUUUAUGAAUUUGUCAUAUAUCAAUCAAAUUAGUCCCUCCGUUCAUUUGGGGUGUUAACGACGAUGAUGUGGCCGUUAACUUCUCACAUGAGUUGUCAUGUCAGAUGCCACAUAACAGGGACUAAUUUGGCCGAUGGUAACCAAAAUUUUCAAGGACGAAAUUGAUUGAUUGCAGAAAAUGUUAUGCAAUUUAAUCUCUGUUAUAUUUGACUAAGUAUCAAAGCGAUCCCUACAUUAUAUUAAAAAAAUCCACCAAAUAAGUCCUUGAAUUAUAUAAACAUAUAUCAAUUUGAUUCUUUAAGUAUAUAUGUGCAGAACAAAGUAAAAAAGUCAGAAAACGCAACUUCAUCCUUGAAAAUACCAUCAAAUAAGUCAUAAGUCUUAAGUCUGAAAUAUUGCAUAAGCAAAAGCAACCCAACUAUGAAGCCUAAUUCAAACAAGUCUGAAUAUUACAUUUUCAAAAGCAUAUUUUAAAUACGUUUUCAUCAAGCAUCACUUCUUUGGAAAUCUGGGGGUUGGGAUAAACUCCAUGAAUUUAGAUUGAGUCGAACCGGAUGGACCAUAACUUGGAUAUGGUACUUUAAUAGCGUCAGGAGCAGUUGGAUGUGCUGGUACAAGACCCCUCAUUGAUGUUUGCUUAGGCCUCUCAUUUAAAAUAAUUGGUCCUCUAAUGCUAUGCCUCCUUGCAGGAACACACUGCAACAACAUUUUCAAUCAAAUCAGUUCCUAAAUCAUAAAAUAUUCAAUCAAAUCAAUCCCUAAGUCAUAAAAUAUUCAAUCAAAUAAGUCCCUAAAUUAUUACACUUACUAGCAAAUCGAUCCUUAAAAUUUAAGAGUCAUACCUGUUCAGGCACUACUUCAUUUGCAACAACAUUGACAACAUUUUGAGCAUUUGCAACAUUUCCAACAACAACAUUUCCAGCAUUUUCUGCAACACAACAAGAUUUCCAGCAACAUUUUAAGCAUUUUCUACAACAUGUCCAACAUUUUCAGCAACAAGAUUUUCUGCAUUUCCUGGUACAUCAUUUCCAACAUUUUCUGCAUUUUCGGUAUUUUCUUCUUCUGGCUCAAUACCAAUAUAAUCUUUUGGUCUCCUAUCAACACCCUGCUGCACACAUCCUCUUGAGUUAUGACCAAUCAAUCCACACCUUCAGGCAUGGAUAGAGUGUGGGGGCAAUGGGGUCAACCAACCCCACUUGCCUCCACUUGCUUAUUGUAUUUUUAACUUCAAUUUGGAUAUUUAUGUAGUUUGACCCCACUUAUAUAGUAUUAUUGUCAUUCAUAACACUACAAAAAAUUACAAAACUAAGAAGGAUCAUAAUGAGUGUUCUAAGAGCACUAGUUAAGAAAUCAAAAGAAGUAACUUUUUUAUAAAAUGUUGUUGUAAUUAUUAUAUUGAUAAAAAUAACACUUAUUUUUAAGAUAAAAUUUUCUUUUAUGAUAUCUUUAACCAAUUCUCUUAGAGAAUAUUGUUAGCAAGAUCAUAAAACUACUAUUAUAUUCUAAACUAUUUUUUAUAUUUAUUGAAAAAUGUUAUGUGAUUGAUGUUGGUGGUUGAAAAAAUAAUUAAUUAUGGUUAUAUUUUUUUACUCUGCUAGAAAUGGAAAAAUAUUUUAAAAAACUCAACAUUUUAUAGCAAUUAUAAAUAUAACUUACAUAAUUUUUGCACGCUUACAUGUUUAUUAAGUUUUAUAUAAAUUUUUAUGAUAUAAUUUUGACCCCACUUAUUAAAAUUUUUGGAUCCAUCACUACACACCUUCUACAUUGAGUGUCUUUGUAAAUCUUCUUCAUUUGACUCCCCAUAAACAGGAGUUCAGGUAUGCUCCAUUUAGGGAGCUAUCCAUUUAGUCCAUUUAGGCACCUGGAUGCAUAUAACAUGUGGCAAACACGUGGCACCUCACUUAAGGGAUGUGGGUGCCACGUCAGCGAAGACUAAGUCAAAAGUGGUCUUGGGGGUUAAAACUGCCAAAGAUCCAAUACAUAGGGAGCUGUUUUGUAUUUUAAUUAGUUAGAAGGCCAAAAUCGCAACUUUUGAAAAGAUAGGGGGCCAAAAGUGCAAUUAAGCCAUUAUUUAACAAUCAAGAAAGUCCAUUAUAGUUUAUACCUAUUACAGUUAAGAAAGACACAAUUCUCAGUUGCACCACCACAUCUGCUAUAGACUAUAUUACUAAAAGAAUUGGUGGGAAGGGAACCAACAUGAUUUUUCAGUCAGGAUGACAGAUGAUCCUGUAUAAUGAUGUCAGUGGAGUUGAAUUGCUAUCCAUUAUUACAAAAAAACCAAAUUCAGCAUAAUACAAAUACUUAACAACAUUGUAUUUGUAAUUGGUACCUGCUACAGAAUAUCACAAGCAUGUGAUUCGUGGUUUUCCAAAUAUGAAUUUGCUUCAAAUUGACCAGAAAAACAUAAAGUACAACAACCAGAUUAAUAGUAAGAAAUUUAUCAGGAAAGAUUAAGUAUAUGCACAUUUCUUUAAGAGCAGAAAUUACAUGCAAAGAUAACAUUGAAAUUUAAAGUUCCUAAUUCAUUUCAGACGUGCCGGCAUAAUAAAUGCGGGUAGCUCUCUUAACCAGGAUUCAAAUUCAGUCUACGAAUCAAGCAACUCCGUAAAGAAACCACAAUAUAAAUAAGAAGUAAUACUCAUCUAACAACAGUAAUUUAUAGGGAUGGUAGUAUCAUGGGAGAUGAUAUUUGGGAAUUGAUCAAGAGUGACAUCCUUUGAAAUGAAGAGUUACAAACAUAACCAAAAACUCGUUAGAAGGUAUAGUCAAUGAAGUAGAUUGUUCAAGCUACAUUAAUGGCCAUCCAAUUCAAAACGUCGUAAUAGGCCGAACCCCAAAAAUAACAAAAACCACAAAAAAAAAACAGCAAAUACUCCAGCUGCCUCCACAAAUCAAAACAGAGAAAACACGACUGCACCAAACCUUGAUAGGCCACGAGGAAGCCGCACAAAACAAGCCUGAAAGCUGCACAUAAAAACGGUGGGAUAGACUCAAGACACUUCCAGAACCCCCACUGCCAAACAGCAACCGCAGAUGAGCAAAAAACAAAACCACAUAAGCAUGAGCAACAAUACAAGGAUAAUGACCCGCUACCGAUUCAAGCAAUCUCAGGGAAUUCCAAUUGACAAGACACUUUGCAUACAAGGUAAUAUUCCAAUCACCACGAUCAUUUUGCUCCUGGUGAAAACAAGGAAAAUAACUAAUUACUUAUUCCUCCAAUUGGAAGAAUGUUUUCCUUGUAUAUUAAUAUCCGAUCAAUAGAAUUCACUUUUUUGCAAGCAAGCUUCACAAUCGUUUGAGUAUUUAAAUCAAGACAAACUAGUUCUUUAUCUUCUCUGAUGAAGAAUAUUUCUCCUUUCGUACCCACUCCGAUGGGACGCUCAAUGAAAGACAACGGUCCGACAAUGAAGAAAUUGGUCCACGAUUCCUUUAUACCGUAUUCACCCAAAAUUGAUAUCUGAAAAUUAGUUGUCUCUUUAUGAUAUGAGAUCAAUGCAAAGGACCCAUUUAACACCACCAAGUUUAUCCACAAUGCGUGAAGAUCGAAACAAUCAUCCAAGUAUGAGGGAAUGGGUGUUAUGAAGAACACCUCAUUGCUCAAGUAAAAGGAUACCAAACAUGGUCCCUCCAAGGUAUCAUCAACUUCUUCAGCCAACCAAUGACACACACCAUCCAUGUAGACUUGAGUGCCGUCAAUACGUGCCAAUGAACAAGGCAUGCCAAAAACAUUAAGUAUCCUCCACGAGUUAGUUCUUAAGCUAUAUAUCACCCA
rnacentral:lncRNA from 1 species